rnacentral:lncRNA from 10 species
GCAUCAGGUUGGGCGUGGGGGGAAGGAGUAGUCAUGUGUAAAAUGUAUGAAUGGAAUGAGAGAGUUUUUAAAAACAGUUAACAAAAAGAAAUGAAAAAAAGAUUGGUUACAGGGAAGUGAGGCUGAUAAAUUCUUUGAGAGUGAAGCCAUAAACAAAGCCACCAAUUUGAAAUUUAAAGCAAAGAGGAAAGUAAUGACAACUCUCCUCCUAGCUUAACUGCAACUGAUUUGGUAAUAUGUCUCUAUAGAUGUGAUUAGGCACUUCAAGGGCAACACAAAUGGAUCAACGGAUUCAAACAAUUGCAGGUUCUCAGACUAGAGGGGGGCCAAAAAAAUGUAAACCUGAGAAUGCAACUGGAUGAAUACACAGCCCUGUCCACACGACUUGCUCCAGCAUCUACAUGUGCCCCCAUGAAGCUGUGAGCACCAAGAGAAGAGGGACAGUAUCUGGCCAGUUCCCUAUUACAACCUUAGUACCUGGCAUUAAUACUGGAUGGCAGGAGCUCAAGCAGUCAUCUUGAACUAUGAGGUAGAAGCCUUGUCCAUAAGGAUGACACAGCAAAAAGAUGAAGUGUGUGGGUCUCGCCUAUGAACAUCCCGCCUCUGCAUUGACUUACUGUGGACACCUAUUACCAGUGAGAGAAAAACUUCAUCGCUAUUAUUUUAGGUUCUCAGUAUCUCAAGUGAAAUAAUGAAUUAAAAAUGAUAAACCCAUCUCUGUUAGGUUUUCCCUAUAAAACUUUCAUUGUCUACAUAAUCUUAUACUUCAGAGAGAGUGCUUGGGCUAUAUUUUAGUGUUAUAAAAAUCAUGUUACAAUGAUAGGGCCUAGCACUAGCAUGGAACGUGGUAGAUCACUUUUUUAAAUAAAUGAAUAUUUUCUGUUCUUUAUAAUUAUC